CGAAUGCUGACAUAAGUAACGAUAAAGCGGGUGAAAAGCCCGCUCGCCGGAAGACCAAGGGUUCCUGUCCAACGUUAAUCGGGGCAGGGUGAGUCGACCCCUAAGGCGAGGCCGAAAGGCGUAGUCGAUGGGAAACAGGUUAAUAUUCCUGUACUUGGUGUUACUGCGAAGGGGGGACGGAGAAGGCUAUGUUGGCCGGGCGACGGUUGUCCCGGUUUAAGCGUGUAGGCUGGUUUUCCAGGCAAAUCCGGAAAAUCAAGGCUGAGGCGUGAUGACGAGGCACUACGGUGCUGAAGCAACAAAUGCCCUGCUUCCAGGAAAAGCCUCUAAGCAUCAGGUAACAUCAAAUCGUACCCCAAACCGACACAGGUGGUCAGGUAGAGAAUACCAAGGCGCUUGAGAGAACUCGGGUGAAGGAACUAGGCAAAAUGGUGCCGUAACUUCGGGAGAAGGCACGCUGAUAUGUAGGUGAAGUCCCUCGCGGAUGGAGCUGAAAUCAGUCGAAGAUACCAGCUGGC
rnacentral:rRNA from 1 species